rnacentral:rRNA from 1 species
AACGAACGCUGGCGGCAGGCUUAAGACAUGCAAGUCGAACGCCCCGCAAGGGGAGUGGCAGACGGGUGAGUAACACGUGGGGACGUGCCCGAAGGUACGGAACAGCUCCGGGAAACUGGAGCUAAUACCGUAUGUGACCGAGAGGUGAAAGAUUUAUCGCCUUCGGAUCGGCCCGCGUCAGAUUAGCUUGUUGGUGGGGUAAUGGCCUACCAGGGCUACGAUCUGUAGCUGUUCUGAGAGGAAGAUCAGCCACAUUGGGACUGAGACACGGCCCAAACUCCUACGGGAGGCAGCAGUCGGGAAUAUUGGACAAUGGGCGCAAGCCUGAUCCAGCCAUGCCGCGUGAGUGACGAAGGCCUUAGGGUUGUAAAACUCUUUCGCACGUGACGAUAAUGACGGUAACGUGAGAAGAAGCUCCGGCUAACUUCGUGCCAGCCGCCGCGGUAACAC